CGCAAUGGGCGAAAGCCUGACGGAGCAAUACCGCGUGAGGGAGGAAGGUCUUUGGAUUGUAAACCUCUUUUCUCAGGGAAGAAUAUUGACGGUACCUGAGGAAUAAGCACCGGCUAACUCCGUGCCAGCAGCCGCGGUAAUACGGAGGGUGCAAGCGUUAUCCGGAAUUAUUGGGCGUAAAGAGUCCGUAGGUGGUCAUGCAAGUCUGCUGUCAAAGCCCACAGCUUAACUGUGGAUCGGCGGUGGAAACUGUGUGACUUGAGUACGGUAGGGGUAGAGGGAAUUCCCAGUGUAGCGGUGAAAUGCGUAGAUAUUGGGAAGAACACCGGUGGCGAAAGCGCUCUACUGGACCGUAACUGACACUGAGGGACGAAAGCUAAGGUAGCGAAAGGGAUUAGAUACCCCUGUAGUCUUAGCCGUAAACGAUGGAUACUAGGCGUUGUCUGUAUCGACCCGGACAGUGCCGAAGCUAACGCGUUAAGUAUCCCGCCUGGGGAGUACGCACGCAAG
rnacentral:rRNA from 1 species